CCUACGGGAGGCAGCAGUGAGGAAUAUUGGACAAUGGAGGAGACUCUGAUCCAGCCAUGCCGCGUGUAGGAAGAAUGCCCUAUGGGUUGUAAACUACUUUUAUACAGGAAGAAACACUGGUAUGUAUACCAGCUUGACGGUACUGUAAGAAUAAGGACCGGCUAACUCCGUGCCAGCAGCCGCGGUAAUACGGAGGGUCCAAGCGUUAUCCGGAAUCAUUGGGUUUAAAGGGUCCGCAGGCGGUCAAUUAAGUCAGAGGUGAAAUCCCAUAGCUUAACUAUGGAACUGCCUUUGAUACUGGUUGACUUGAGUCAUAUGGAAGUAGAUAGAAUGUGUAGUGUAGCGGUGAAAUGCAUAGAUAUUACACAGAAUACCGAUUGCGAAGGCAGUCUACUACGUAUGUACUGACGCUCAUGGACGAAAGCGUGGGGAGCGAACAGGAUUAGAUACCCUGGUAGUCCACGCCGUAAACGAUGGAUACUAGUUGUUGGGAUUUAUCUCAGUGACUAAGCGAAAGUGAUAAGUAUCCCACCUGGGGAGUACGGUCGCAAGACUGAAACUCAAAGGAAUUGACGG
rnacentral:rRNA from 1 species